GACGAACGCUGGCGGCGUGCUUAACACAUGCAAGUCGAACGGAAAGGCCCUGCUUUUGUGGGGUGCUCGAGUGGCGAACGGGUGAGUAACACGUGAGUAACCUGCCCUUGACUUUGGGAUAACUUCAGGAAACUGGGGCUAAUACCGGAUAGGAGCUCCUGCUGCAUGGUGGGGGUUGGAAAGUUUCGGCGGUUGGGGAUGGACUCGCGGCUUAUCAGCUUGUUGGUGGGGUAGUGGCUUACCAAGGCUUUGACGGGUAGCCGGCCUGAGAGGGUGACCGGCAACAUGGGGAAUGAGAUACGGCCCAGACUCCUACGGGAGGCAGCAGUGGGGAAUAUUGCACAAUGGGCGGAAGCCUGAUGCAGCAACGCCGCGUGCGGGAUGACGGCCUUCGGGUUGUAAACCGCUUUCGCAUGUGACGAAGAGUGAGUGACGGUAAUGGGUAAAGAAGCACCGGCUAACUACGUG
rnacentral:rRNA from 1 species